AACUUCAAUAACUUCUAAAACACUUGUGACCACUAAAUACAGAAAUGUUUAUUAACAUGUUUUACAUAUAUUCUUAUUAUCUUUUCAUUUGAUGUUUAUUAUUGAUUAUUGGGGUAACUAGGUGGCCGGAGGAAGGCUUGAGAGGAGACCUGCCACUUUCUUUUGGAUAUUCCAAGUUAAAAGGAUCUGUGGGGUAUCUAGAAGAGUUUCUGUGUACCUCUGAAUCCAUCUUGGGUUAUUAGGGUCACAUCAGAUGUUAAAUCCAAUGCAGGCAGUAGAGAUUUUGGGAGUUUCAAAUGGUUGUUUGAAGCUACAGGCAAAGGUGAGAUGGUCA
rnacentral:lncRNA from 1 species